rnacentral:tRNA from 1 species
GAGGGUAUAGCGCUGGUGGUAGAGCUCAUGCUUAGCAAGCAUGAGGUCCUGGGUUCAAUCCCCAGUAGUAUCU